GCCGCGGUAGCCUGACCGUGCUAAGGUAGCGCAAUCACUUGCCCUUUAAUUGUGGGCUAGUAUGAAUGGCCAGUCAAGGGCUUAACUGUCUUAAGAAAAAAAAUGAAAAUUUACCUUCAGGUGAAGAGGCCUGAAUAAUAGAAAAAGACAAGAAGACCCUAUCGAGCUUUAAUUUUGUUUUACUUAAAAUUUAAAAAUAAAUUUUUAUUGGGGCAAUAAAGGAGCAAAAAAACCCUCCUUUCUCUUCUUCGAUUAACAAAUUUUGAAAAAUAAAAAUUUUUCGGUAUUAGCUACCGUAGGGAUAACAGACUAAUUUCCUUUAAGAGUUCACAUUGACAAGGAAGCUUGGCACCUCGAUGUUGGCUUAAGAUUACAGUUACGAAGCAGGACUCUAACACUGUGGGUUUGUUCAACCUUUAAAAUCUU
rnacentral:rRNA from 19 species